rnacentral:rRNA from 1 species
GUCCUUAGUUACCAGCACGUUAUGGUGGGCACUCUAAGGAGACUGCCGGUGACAAACCGAGGAAAGGUGGGGAUGACGUCAAGUCAUCAUGGCCCUUACGGCCUGGGCUACACACGUGCUACAAUGGUCGGUACAAAGGGGUUGCCAAGCCGCGAGGUGGAGCUAAUCCCAUAAAACCGAUCGUAGUCCGGAUCGCAGUCUGCAACUCGACUGCGUGAAGUCGGAAUCGCUAGUAAUCGUGAAUCAGAAUGUCACGGUGAAUACGUUCCCGGGCCUU